AGUGAACGCUGGCGGUAGGCCUAACACAUGCAAGUCGAACGGCAGCACAGUAAGAGCUUGCUCUUACGGGUGGCGAGUGGCGGACGGGUGAGGAAUACAUCGGAAUCUACUUUUUCGUGGGGGAUAACGUAGGGAAACUUACGCUAAUACCGCAUACGACCUACGGGUGAAAGCAGGGGAUCUUCGGACCUUGCGCGAUUGAAUGAGCCGAUGUCGGAUUAGCUAGUUGGCGGGGUAAAGGCCCACCAAGGCGACGAUCCGUAGCUGGUCUGAGAGGAUGAUCAGCCACACUGGAACUGAGACACGUUCCUGACUCCUACGGGAGGCAGCAGUGGGGAAUAUUGGACAAUGGGCGCAAGCCUGAUCCAGCCAUACCGCGUGGGUGAAGAAGGCCUUCGGGUUGUAAAGCCCUUUUGUUGGGAAAGAAAAGCAGCAGGUUAAUACCCCGCUGUUCUGACGGUACCCAAAGAAUAACCACCGGCUAACUUCGUG
rnacentral:rRNA from 1 species